GAAAUGCGAUACGUAAUGCGAAUUGCAGAAUUCAGUGAAUCAUCGAAUUUUUGAACGCAAAUUGCGCUCUCGGGAUAGGCCUGAGAGCAUGUUUCUUUGAGCCUCGUGUCUAAACCAUCUCGGCUGCGUGCCGGAAAAUGAAAGUCCCAUUAUCCAUGGAGCGUGGGUCUUUUUAAGCUCAUUGAAGCCAUGGCUAGCAUCCGCCUUGAGAAGUUCCUUCUGCAGAGCGGCGCGAUUAACAAGUUUAACUUUUUCUCUCGCUUCUUUGUGUUGGAUCAUCCGCUGCCGGUGAAAGUCAUUGCUCAGUAACGGAAAACCCUUUUUGACUUAGAGCUCAAAUGAAGCAAGAGAACCCGCUGAACUUAA
rnacentral:misc_RNA from 1 species